UAGUAAGUCACUGGGCCAUGAGUUUAACUCUUCAUAGGUAUUUCACUCCGAUAAAAUAAUGGACAUAAGGGUGUUGCACACUUGUGAUAACCUUGAAAUCCCAAAUGAUGUGAUUCAUAUAAUCACGAUGCAAUAGCAGGCACGAUUACAAUUAAUUGAUGGAAAAGGUGGCAGCUCUUGAAUUGCCAAAGACUAAUUUAACCAUCAGAAGAGAGGCUUAUAUUUUUUCGUGAUGCUAUUCAGGAUAUGAGUUGCGCUUGAUAUGCAUACAGAAUUCCAUUAAAAUCUAAGGGGUGACCAAGCAUGCCCCAACUGAAAUAGUAAAGGUAGAGCAUUGCCGUUUCUUCUUAAAUUUAAAAAGUCAAAAAAAAAAAAAAAAAGUA